rnacentral:misc_RNA from 1 species
AUUGGCGUCUCCUGGAUCUAACUGCAAAGAUAGAUCAAAAUUAAAUAAAACAGAAACAUAUUAUAAUUCAAAUUUUUGUUUCCAAAAAGAUUUUUUUUUCCAUUAAGGAAAUUGAAGAAUAUAGCUAGAUUAUAAAAAUUCAUAUUCCAAUCGAGAUAAAACCUUAAUGUCUACUACAAAUAUUUAGAAUUCAAACAAUACAACUCAACUUAAUUCAACUA